rnacentral:rRNA from 1 species
UACGAAGGGGGCUAGCGUUGCUCGGAAUCACUGGGCGUAAAGGGUGCGUAGGCGGGUUUUUAAGUCAGAGGUGAAAUCCUGGAGCUCAACUCCAGAACUGCCUUUGAUACUGAAAGUCUUGAGUAUGGGAGAGGUGAGUGGAACUGCGAGUGUAGAGGUGAAAUUCGUAGAUAUUCGGAAGAACACCAGUGGCGAAGGCGGCUCACUGGCCCGGUACUGACGCUGAGGUGCGAAAGCGUGGGGAGCAAACAGG